rnacentral:misc_RNA from 1 species
GCUAAAGCAGCAUUACUAUGCAUACAACGAAACCCUGAAAUGCGACCAUCAAUUGGAGAGAUUGUGCGCCUUCUCGAAGGAGAAAACAACCACAUCCAUCAUUUGGGGGAGAAAGUGUUACCUCUUUAUUAUGCAAGGAGAUGAAGAGAUUUUGUCUUUAAAUGGUUUUGGAGUAGAGCACUCAUGCUUGAAGAGUCACUUAGAUAAAG